ACAGGCUCCGGACGCGCAGGCUCAGCGGCCAUGGCUCACGGGCCCAGCCACUCCGCGGCAUGUGGGAUCUUCCCGGACCGGGGCACGAACCCGUGUCCGCUGCAUCGGCAGGCGGACUCUCAACCACUGCGCCACCAGGGAAGCCCUAGAGUGUUACCCACCUGCCUGCCCUCAUCCCUGUACCUUUGGGCAGCCCCAGCUGCUGCAGUUCACUGGACAAGGACUCGCCAUCCACGCUAUGCUUGGCCGCACUGGAGAGGAUGAAACUCAGCACUGCCACUGUGGCCUUCACAUCACCCGACUCUGGGGGGAGCCGUGGGUGGAAUGGGGGGUGUCACUGUGGCCCCAGCCACCUCCUUGACACCCCACUAUCUUCAGCUCAGAGCCUCCAGGCCUCCUUGAGCCAUGAGCACCGCUACUGCCCCACUGGGAGUGGGCAGAGGACCCUAGGGCUGGCAAUGUCUUUCUUCCCUCAUGCUCCUCUGCUGAGGCAGGUCUGCGGACCCAGUGGGGUACUCACCAAACCUGGCAUCAGCGGUGAGCUUCAGGAUCUUCUCAUACUGUGGAGAAAGGAGGCCCUCAAGGGGUGCCGGACCCCCACUCACUAGCCCCCAACCCCUGGCCUGGAUCCUGUGGUAAGGACACGAGGUAUCUAGGGAGGGUGGGAGCUGAUCACCCGUCUCCCUGGGUCUGGUGCACUUUCAGGGCAGUGGGGGUCACAGGGUCAUGGGACAGUGGGGUGCGGGGCCCUGCACUCACGUCAAUCCCCUGUCCCAGAAGGUCCUUCAGCACCUGGCUACACAGCAGCCUCAGCUUCACGGAGGACUGGAGGGGAAGGCCUUACAUCAGCCAGACUGACCCACCUCACCCCUCCAUGCUGGUGGGCUGGCUCAGAGAAGGCUGGCCACAUACCUGACCAGUCACACAGCAUGUUCGGACAGCCCGAGAGCGCUGAGGCCCCAGCCCAAGAGUGACCUCCCCACCCUCCACCCUCAGAGCCCCCACCCCCAAGACCCCAUGCACUCAACGAUUUUGGCCAGCGUGCUGAUCUCUGCCAGGACCCAGUCAGGACAGUCCAGGUCACCACAGAACCGGAACCUCUGCAAGGGAGUAAGCUCCAGCCAUACUGGCCUCCCUGCUGCUCCUGUUGCAGAUUAAACGUGGCUUGCUCUCUCACUUCACUCAGGUCUCUGCUCAAAUGACACCUCUUCUGAUGGACUUUCUCUGACUUUGCUUUCUUAAAUAGCCCCUCACACAAGGAAAUGUUUGGGGUCAGUGGAUGUAUUCAUUAUCUUGAUCAUGGUAAUGUUUUCAUGAGCAUAUAUGCAUCGAAACUUAUCGAACCAUAUAUUUGCACACACAUGGUUUGUUUUAUGUCGAUAUUAUCUCAAGGAAGCUGUUAAAAAAAAAUAAAACAGCUCUUCACC